AUACUGAGGGUGCGAGCGUUAAUCGGAAUUACUGGGCGUAAAGCGCGCGUAGGCGGUAAGUUAAGUUGGAUGUGAAAUCCCUGGGCUCAACCCAGGAACUGCAUUCAAAACUGGCUCACUAGAGUAUGGUAGAGGCAAGUGGAAUUCCAGGUGCAGCGGUGAAAUGCGUAGAUAUCCGGAGGAACAUCAGUGGCGAAGGCGACUUGCUGGGCCAAUACUGACGCUGAGGUGCGAAAGCGUGGGUAGCAAACGGGAUUAGAAACCCUAGUAGUCC
rnacentral:rRNA from 1 species